GGAGAGGUGGCUGAGUGGUCGAAAGCGGCAGAUUGCUAAUCUGUUGAGGGGUGUUCAGCCUCUCCGAGGGUUCUGAAUCCCUCCCUCUCCG
rnacentral:tRNA from 1 species